GAGGCCGGCCUCGGACACGUAGCGGGUGCUGCCGCUGAUCAGGUUCAAGGAGUACAUGUGCAAGUUUUCAAGUUUUUUACCUGGAUUUCUUCCAGAGCCAGUGUCACCAAAGUAUAUACUUAGAUGACAAACCAGGGGUUCCUGCCACAGUUUUGCCACUGUGCCUGCUCCUCAGCCACAUCAUUCCAUGUAGCCAUUUUAGCCAGGGCAUCAUUGACCAAGGUCUGACAAUUAUGAGAAGAAUAGAAGAUCCUGUGAAGCCAUUAUUAGCUCUUGACUCAAUGGCAACAGCCCUUUUUUCCAUUUGAACUAACGCAGUUGUAAAACCUUGGGCAAGUAGUUCAAUGUGCCUGGACCUCAGUUUCCCUCAACUAUGCAAUGCAAUUAAUAAAUCCUACCUCUCAAAAGCAGAUUGUUCUAAAUAUUUACUGAGAU
rnacentral:lncRNA from 1 species